UAAACGGAUACGAAGAAGUAUACUCCUAAAAUGGGCACCUGGGGUAUAUGGAGUUAGUGGUGCAACCGGCUUUG
rnacentral:ncRNA from 1 species